UACAGAGGGUGCGAGCGUUAAUCGGAAUUACUGGGCGUAAAGCGCACGUAGGUGGCGACGUAAGUCGGGUGUGAAAGCCCCGGGCUCAACCUGGGAAUUGCAUUCGAGACUGCAUUGCUGGAGUACGGAAGAGGAGGGCGGAAUUCAUGGUGUAGCAGUGAAAUGCGUAGAGAUCAUGAGGAAGACCAGUGGCGAAGGCGGGUCUCUGGACAGUUCCUGACACUGAGACACGAAGGCCAGGGGAGCAAACGGG
rnacentral:rRNA from 1 species